rnacentral:rRNA from 1 species
UACGAAGGGGCUAGCGUUGCUCGGAAUUACUGGGCGUAAAGCGCACGUAGGCGGUCUUUUAAGUCGGGGGUGAAAUCCUGGAGCUCAACUCCAGAACUGCCUUCGAUACUGGAAGACUUGAGUCCGGGAGAGGUGAGUGGAACUGCGAGUGUAGAGGUGAAAUUCGUAGAUAUUCGCAAGAACACCAGUGGCGAAGGCGGCUCAC